ensembl:lncRNA
GCGCAAGGCUGGGGCGGCGGCCGGGCGUCCCGGCGUGAUGUGCUCGGGGUGGCGUGUUUCGCCGCAGCGAUGCUGAGCCUCGGCGCGCAGGAGGGAGCCUGCCGCUGCCCCGGAGCAGAGCAAGCGCUGCCAGCGCUGGCUGCGGUCUCUGCCCCGCGGGGACGGGGCUCGGGGCUCCCGCGGCAGGGCCGGGGGGAGAGCUGCUCCUGGGGCCGCUGCCUCCCAYCGCGAGGGGUUUGCCGUGUCCCGGCAUCGCUGCUGGCCCCGCGCGCCCAGCCGCUUCCCGCUGGGGACCCGGCUUCCCCGUCCCCGGCCGGGGAGGAGGAGGGGGGGGGAAGCGCCACCCUUCACACUGGCUUUGCACCGCGCAGACCCCUCCGGCAGGGAGCGGGGUCCUCAUCGGCGCCGGGGCAGCUGGCGUGGGGUGCGGGAACCCACGUCCCCCACGCGCUGCCGCCGUCCCGGCCUCUGCCUCUCCCGGCUCCGGCCCAGCCUCCUCGGGAGAUGCUCCCCUGGUCCUACGUUGGUUCUGGUCUCACUGCCGCUCCCCUCUUUUUAAAGCGAGGUACUUAAAGCAGUGAUGCUUUCAAAGCUGAUCUGCCAAGGCUUUAACUCGUUAAGCGGAUCUUUUUUUAAAUGUUAGACUCCCACGGGAAGAAGGCUGGUUGUGUUUCCCUUUCACCCGAGGAAAACUGCGGCACUCCGUCCACAAGGCAGGGAGGGAGCACGGUCGCGCCCUGGCGAGAGGAGCGGGGUCAGGGCGGCCCCAGCCCGCUCCCGGUCCUGCCACCGACCGGCUGGGUGACCCUGGGCAAGUCGCUUUGCCUCUCUGUGCCUCAGUUUCCCCACCUGUAAAAUGGGGAUAAUAAUACUGCUCUACCUCGCAGGGGGUGUUGUGAGGCUUCCUUGGCUAACAUUUGUACAGUGCUUUGAGAUCCUUGGACGAGGGUGCUGCAGGUGCAAAGCCGGAGGGUCUUUACUGAGGGCACGCGCUGCUGGGAUUCGGGAGCGCCAGAGCCGUGUGGGGAACCGCCUGAGCCGGGUUUCUCGGGGAGGUGAUUUGUUCCCUGUUUCGCCUGUGUUGUGGGUAUGUGCCAGUGCCGCCACGGGACAGGCUGCAAGGCGCCCGGCAGGUUUCCUUGGCUGCUGGGUAAACAGGAAGGUGGGAGUCAGGCCCCCGGGAUCCCGGUCUUGUCUCUGCCCUAGGGACCUGUGGGACCCUUGGGCAAAUCACUCGACUCCUCUGUGCUUUGGUUUCCCCAUCUGUCGCAUGGGGACAGCAAACCUGAGCUACCUCGCAGGAGCUGUGAGGCUCCCGGCAUGGCUGCGCGAAGUGCUCCGCGCUCCUUGGGUGAAAGGCGCUCUGUAAAUGCCAGGUAUCAUUAACGUCCAUCAUCGCUCACGAGAGUCUGGGCAGGAAGACGCGAGCCCCCCCAGUGAGACCGCCAGCCCAUCCUUGCAGAAGACCUCCCAGGGGAGAGGGCAGUGAGGGGAGGAAGGGAUUUUUUUUUUCCAAGAACUAUUUUUAGCUGUCCUAACCUGCCAGCCUUUUCUAGACGGUAUCUGGACCCAGCUCCACUUACCACAGGAUAUGCAAUGCUGUACUAUGCAUGGGUUAUUCCUCUGGCUUGAAGGAAGAAAAGUCAACAUAACCWGUUUUGGAAAUGUAACUGUCCGUAGGCAUGUGUGAGUGGGUGUUGCAGGCAGCGCUGUGGGGAAGGGGCUGGCUCGGGAGCUCGCGCCGCUCCGGCGGGGUCCCUGCCGUCCCCGGGGCUUCCCGCGGCAUGCUGGGGGACGGCACUGCUGGAAGUGUGUGGUGUGGUGUGGUGUGGUGUGACCGGCACAGGUGCGUGUAGGCGUGUGGAAAUAGAUGUAGGAGAUACCUGCGAGUACACACAGGGUGCGUGCAACACGCUGUGUUAUGACUUGCAACACAUUUUGCACUGUAGAGUUUUAGCUAGCUUUGCCUUGAAUGAAAUAAACUUUAUGUUUACUAGAGAAA